UCCCCGUUACCGAGGCAGUCUGACUAGAAAAUACAACUAGUCACGAGGGUUGCGCUCGUUGAAGGACUUAACCUAACAUCUCACGACACGAGCUGACGACAGCCAUGCAUCACCUGUCACCAGUCCAACUAAAUGACGGCCUAGUUUCCUAGGCCUACGACUGGGAUGUCAAGCCCUGGUAAGGUUCUUCGCGUAUCAUCGAAUUAAACCACACGCUCCACCGCUUGUGCGGGUCCCCGUCAAUUCCUUUGAGUUUUAAGCUUGCGCUCGUACUCCCCAGGCGGGAUGCUUAACGCGUUAGCUUCGCUACUGACCGGGUCGAUACGGCCAACAGCUAGCAUCCAUCGUUUACGGCGUGGACUAC
rnacentral:misc_RNA from 1 species